ACAGAGAUGGAGAGGGACGCUAAAUUUAUCUCAAGUGUGGCUAUCCUGAUUUAUGGUUCCUUCAAUACCGUUUGAACCUGGAAACACCACAAACAUUU